AGUGAACGCUGGCGGUAGGCCUAACACAUGCAAGUCGAACGGCAGCACAGUAAGAGCUUGCGAUGACGGGGGGCGAGGGGCGGACGGGUGAGGAAUACAUCGGAAUCUACUUUUUCGUGGGGGAUAACGUAGGGAAACAUACGCUAAUACCGCAUACGACCUACGGGUGAAAGCAGGGGAACUUCGGACCUUGCGCGAUUGAAAGAGGCGAUGUCGGAUUAGCUAGUUGGCGGGGGAAAGGCCCACCAAGGCGACGAUCCGUAGCUGAUCUGAGAGGAUGGUCUGCCACACUAGACCUGUGCCACGGUCCAGACUCCUACGCGAGGCAGCACUGGGGAAUAUUAGACAAUGCGCGCAAGCCUGAUCUAGCCCUGCCGCGUCGGUGAAGAAGGCCUUCGGGUUGUAAAGCCCUUUUGUUGUGAAACAAAAGCAGCACGUUAAUCCCGCGCUGUUCUGACGGUACCCAAAGAAUAAGCACCGGCUAACUUCGUG
rnacentral:rRNA from 1 species